CAGAAGCAAGACGAACAAUUAUUUUUUCGGUUCCCUAAGGGAUAAAGGAUGCUUCAAUUUAACACAAAUGCUGGUCUUACAGUCUUCCCAAUAGGUGGCACUGUGACCCCAUGUUUGUACUGAUGUCUCGGGUGGACCAUGAUGGAUGGAAGCUCUCAUUGAGCGUGGGAGAGGAAGAUGGAGAGCAUCCGUGACCGCAGAUGAUGAUCAGCCAUGGGAAAAUCAGCUGCAUAAACAGGUCCGCUCCAUUAACGCUUAGAGAACGCUCAGGGAACACGACAAUAGCCAUGUCCAUGUGGUUUUCAGUCAUCUUCUGUCAUUGUGUGGGGACCUAUAGAGCUGUCUAUCUACGUGAGUGAACAGCAGAAAAUGUGACUAAACACCGGAGCUGUUUGCCUAUGUAACUGAACAUCAGAAAUGAUUAUCUAAGUGACUGCACACCAGAGCCUUCUAAAUGACUGAACACCAGAGCCUUCUAAGUGAUUGAACACCAGAGCCAUCUAAAUGACUGAACACUAGAGCCGUCUAAGUGACUGAACACCAGAGCCUUCUAAAUGACUGAACACCAGAACCGUCUAAGUGACUGAACACCAGAGCCUUCUAAAUGACUGAACACCAGAGCCGUCUAAAUGACUGAACACCAGAGCCGUCUAAGUGACUGAACACCAGAGCCAUCUAAAUGACUGAACACUAGAGCCUUCUAAGUGACUGAACACUAGAGCCUUCUAAGUGACUGAACACUAGAGCCAUCUAAAUGACUGAACACCGGAGCCUUCUAAAUGACAGAACACCAGAGCCUUCUAAGUGACUGAACACUAGAGCCUUCUAAAUGACUGAACACCGGAGCCUUCUAAAUGACAGAACACCAGAGCCUUCUAAGUGACUGAACACUAGAGCCUUCUAAAUGACUGAACACCAGAGCCUUCUAAGUGAUUGAACACCAGAGCCGUCUAAAUGACUGAACACCGGAGCCUUCUAAGUGACUGAACACCGGAGCCGUCUAAGUGACUGAACACCGGAGCCUUCUAAAUGACUGAACACCGGAGCCUUCUAAAUGACUGAACACCAAAGCCUUCUAAGUGACUGAAGACCAGGGGCGGCGAUGCACUGUGACCUGGUCUGCAUUCAUGGUCUCCACUGUGGUGGUUUGCAGGGGCUGAGUGGGCCGGGAGGUCCGAAGCCUUUACCAUCCUCAGAGGAUGGGCACACUGCCCGGCCCAUCGCUUUCUGCCAGCUGGGCAAGCUGCCAGUCUCACCCUCGCACUGGAGGAAAAUCAGAUCCGACGCCUCCUUUAAACACCGUUUGAACCGGCUUUACCACGAUCACUUAAAAUUAUCAUUUUCCCCUCAGAAAUCCUCAGUCUAAGAGGCUGUUGUUCUUCAGCCCCUGACGGGAGAGGCCGUGGGCGCGUUCCUAGGUCAGCACGCCUCACGCACGGUAAAGACAGGUGUCCAAGCGACCAGGGCAACGGUGAAAGGACACACGGGACGUCCUCCGUCUCCCGCGCCACAGCAGGGAGCAUUGUGGGAAAUGACAGCACGGCCACGCGGCACGUGGCGUAGCCUUGGCGGUUUUGGAACGAGCUGCUGCGACUUCCUCAUCAUCAGCUGGUGCGGCGUUUACUGACGUGUACGUGUUUCUUUUCAACUCAAGCAGGCAGGAGGAGCAUACUCCAGAGCUGUUACGGAAAUAAACUGCAGGAGGAUAAAUAAGGACCUUAUUCUUAGCGCAGAUCUGGGCAGGGACCUCCAUGGAGCACAGGGACCUAACCCCACGGGAGAGCUCCUGUGCAUUUAAAGACUUGCAUCAGUCCUCUUAUCGCGGAUGAAAAAGCCGAAGACGGAGGGAGAGAAUGAUGCCACCCAUCAACACACACACACACACUCUCUGACUGUGAAGAGCAGCCGGCAAACAGGGUUGUGAGCCUCGGCUUCAGUCAACCAUUUGCUUUUUUGCAAACAUUGCUAAACGGGCGCCAUGCACAUUCAUGACAGCGGUGGAGGGGCGCAGGUACAGGGUGAACGGCUCUCUGGGAAAGAAGGGAAUGGAAUUGAGAGACGUUGAAGCCUGUUAAAGAGCAGUAAAAAAGCCAGCUCCUGACGUCAUGUGGGACCGGGGACCAGCCCUCUCAUCCGGUUGUCCGUUUCGUAACUAACACUCCCCGUUCUGGUCCCCAAAAAGCAGCUGCUCUUUUAUGGCCAGAUUCAAUUAACAAUUUAGCUGAAUAAAAAAAAAAGGUGAAAAAAAAGGCACAAACAUCUGGAGUCGUUAACAGUUAAUGUGGAAAAUGAAGGGAAGCGAGAGGAUGAAAAUGUGAGACUUUCAAGGACAAAGGCUUACUGCGUGCCAUCCAUAACAAAACACGGCUUGGCCUAUUACUGCUGCUGUUAAUACGAAUAAUAAUGAACAUUUUGUCUAUUGUAAAUCCACUGAGACUGCAGAAAAUUAAGCAUAUUAAAUACUACAAGUUUUGACAAUGAGCACAUCAGAGUUUAAUUGACAUGUGAUUUAGUCGGAGAAGAUUAUACCGCAGUGGCCUAAAU